rnacentral:lncRNA from 1 species
AAGUCCGCGGCUUUGUCGAGAAUUGCAGUACAAGCACAGCAGCUGUCGUGCUCAGGCAAAGAAUGGAGCACUGUAUGCGAUGGUUCCUCCAAAUUUCCGUCUUGUAUGGCCCUACCGCUUUAGGUAUGCCGAAUCGACAUAAAGACAACGGUGCCACAGUGUACCCUAGAGUGUUAGACACAAGGGAAGACAAUUCUGCGAAGACUGUCCUUCUUGACGGAUACUCGCUUUCCCUAAGCAAGGCCUCUGUAUUUGCCGGCAUAGUACAACUGCGAGAACUGACAGACGCUGGAGUCACUGAGAGAUACGUUCCGGGCGCUAAAUAUGACAGACACCUUUACCAAGAUGCCGACAUGAAGGCGUCGCUUCUUCUGAAGCCUCAAGCGCACGGGAAUUACCAUAUAGUCGGCCUGGUCAAUUUCACUCAUCUGAUUCGCCCAAUUGAAAAAUGAAGAAAAAGCGCCAUCAGGAGAAAUACCCCACAAGAUAUCGAGAAUUAGGUCCAGCGAGGAAAGAUCCGAUGUUAUUACAG